AAUACACAAUUAGCACUAAAGCACUAAUCACAUAUCGCAGGGCGUCCCCCUCAAGUGAAAGAAAGCCCUAAGUGCCCAGACCCAAAAAUACUAUGAAAUUUAGAAAAGUAAUUAAUUUGGUUCUGUAGAUUCCACAAAAUCGGCAGGAUAUUGGAAGGCCUCGAGGUGGUAAGUAGUUUCAACCGAGUCCCUCCCAAUGCCGCACAUUGAGUGACAUGUGUCCAGUGGAAGAGAGAGAAAAUUUCUCACAUCGGAUAAGUAAAUUUCAUGCUACUUACCUGCCCGAUAUGAACAACAACCAUAGGAUUGGGGGGCCCAGAUCAAUGGUAGAGACACAUCCCAAUAAAUGACGGAUUUGGAAAGGUUAUAAAGCAAGAUUACAUGGGAUUUGAAGUCUAACAUGGACGAUGAUUUGGCAAAAGAUUCGUGUUUCAUGGGCAGUCUUGGAGUAAAUGCAAAUAACGACCAUUCAAACAUUUCCAAGAGAACUGACACUCGUUCGUUAUGAAACAGGUGGCCACCUCCCUAAGAAGUGUUAUACAGUGAUGAUGACGUAGAAUAGGGGAAUUCAAAUGGAUAGAGGCAGAAGAACUAGAAUGCUGGAAGCGGAAACGAACAGUAAAAGAACAUACUAGCUUUAAAGCCAUGAACUAACAGAAGCAUAGGAAACAAAGGAGAGUUAGUUAGACACAGAAGCUAAGAGCAGCGAAUAGAGAGAAGAAGCCAAUCUAACCUGAAGGCAACAUCUAGCUAGAUAGAGCUAAAGAGAGUUGGAGAGUUUGUGUACUCUAGAGAAAGCUUGAGAGGUUCAAGUGAGCUCCUUGGCAUAAGCCUAUCAUGUAUGAGCCUCAGAUUGGGCUCAUACUACUGUGACUAAUAAGGGUCAAGUUUCAGUAAGGAGAGUCUAUCUACUCCAGAGACUUGAAGAAUCUAAAUCCAAUCCUACUAAUUUUAAUUUGUUUAGUGAGACUCGAAUUGAGCUCACUAUUGUAAAAACUCUGCUUUGAAAACAUAAUAGAGAGGCCACAACUGAAGGUUGCACCAGGAGACAUAGCCCAGAAGCAUCAGGUGAACUCCUUAUUAAACUUGUUGUGUUUAUAUGUUUUCCUGUUAUGUUUUCUCUAACUACCUCAGUGUCUAUGUAUUUCAUAAUCUUAUCGAUCCAUUGCAUAAAGUAACAUAGGCACAUCCAUGCACAUUAGUCUAUAAUACCUCUAAUUCUUUGUCCUGGAUAAAUUCCAUAUCAUCGAGUACCGUUCAUGCCUAGUUGUACUAAUAACUGCAUCAGGUCUACAAGAUGAACAACAUAUGGUCAAUAGAAUAGUGUAGUUAAGGGAAGUCGACAAAACAGAUCCAUAACUUUGGGAAACAUAUUGACUCUAAGGCCUAGGCCUAGUGGUUUGCGCCCUCAACUCGUGGGUUGUCGACAGUCUUCCUGAGCUACUCUCGUGGCGAGGGCAGGCAGUCGCGUACCAAUAGGCUAUGUGCAUGGAAUUCCCCCUACUAGGGGAUUUUCCCUAGGUAGAAAACGAUCGACUCAGAACUAGUACGUACAAGGGGAAUUUGACUAUUUAAUUAAAAUAAAGCAUUGUGAUGGUCCCUAUGGAUUCUAACGCAAUAUGAUUUUUUCCCAGUGCUCUAGAUGUCAAAGUGAAGAAAUUCAAACAAGCGUGGGUAAAUGUCGGGAGUAACUAUGACUCUCUUAACGUAGCCAAAUGCCUUGUCAUAUAAUUAGUGACGUGCAUGAAUGGAUUAAAGAGAUUCCCAUUGUCUCUAUCUACUAUCUAGCAAAACCUCAACCAAGGAAACGAGCUUGGUAGAAUCAACAGGUAAAGAAGACCCUGUUGAGCUUGACUCUAGUCUGAAUUUGUGAAAUGACUUGAGAGGUGUAGAAUAAGUGGGAUCAUUUUUCGGUAGAAGUGAAAUAACACUACUUUUAAUGUUAUUUUACUUAUUUCGCGGGGCGGAGACAGGGAACUACCCCUGUUUUUGGCGUUAAGGCAUGUUUCAGCUAGUUUUUCUAAGUGUAAGACAUUGUUAGGUGGGGAGUUUGGCUAGAUAAGAACAUCUAUUAAAAUAUAACGCAGGUGUUCUAAGAUGAGCUCAACAAGAACAAAAAUAUCAUGUGGAAAAAAGGGUAAAAUCUCAUUUGAUUUUGAUUUUCAGUAUGAAUACAAACCGUCAAUGUGUGGCCUAAUGAUCCUUUAGAUUUUUGGAAUUGGAAGCUAGUGGUGUCAGAAAAGUUACCACAGGGACAACUAGCUUGUGGCAACCAAGUGUUCAUAGAGACAUUACUUUUUUAUCCUUCGAUGUUGGCUCUUCCUAUCAUUGUGAAGCAGAAUUCACCAAGUGUUGGAUUGUUCACCCACUAAUAGGGAACGUGAGUUGGGUUUAGACCAUCGUGAGACAGGUUAGUUUUACCCUACUGAUGAAUCACACUGCAAUAGUAAUUCAAAUUAGUAUGAGAGGAACUGUUGAUUUACAAAAUUGGUCAUUGUGCUUGGUUGAAAAUCUAGUGGCAUGAAGCUACCAUGCGUAUGAUUAUGACUGAACACCUCUAAGUCAGAAUCCAUACUAGAAGUAGUGCAUGUCACUCUUCUACUGUAUCUUGACCUGUAGUAGGGGAAUUGCUUUGUCGCCCCUAGGGGCUCGUGUCAUUUCAAGACAACGAUCGUGAAGCAUCUUGAUCUGGGCAGCUUUGAAGUUCAAUUC
rnacentral:rRNA from 1 species